UACAGAGGUCUCAAGCGUUGUUCGGAUUCAUUGGGCGUAAAGGGUGCGUAGGUGGCGCCGUAAGUCAGGUGUGAAAUUCGGAGCUUAACUCCGAAACUGCAUUUGAUACUGCGGUGCUUGAGGUACUGGAGAGGAGACUGGAAUUCACGGUGUAGCAGUGAAAUGCGUAGAUAUCGUGAGGAAGACCAGUGGCGGAAGGCGGGUCUCUGGACAGUUCCUGACACUGAGGCACGA
rnacentral:rRNA from 1 species